GGAUUAUAUUAAAGGAAAGAUUACCUAAAAGUUCUGUUAGUUUCUCAUGCAAUUCCUCCAAAGAGGAAAACAUAGGCACGUUCUUGGAGAAGCGUGAAAAAUUCUUGCCUGAAUGAAAGUCUGUCAUCGAGCGAUCCAUUUUUAGCAGAACUAGAAUUACUUGAAUGUGAAAAGAAUUUUCUUCUUUUCAACUUCAACCGUGAAAACUCAACGAACAUUAAAAUUACUUGGAUCACGUGUCCUCAAGAUCGAAACCCGUCAUACAUUCUCACCGCAUUCAGAAGCAGAAAAGUCAUUGUGUUUUAUUUUAACAAAUCUCAUCCUUGAUAAGGUCGUAACGUCCGGCCUGCAUUGAAUAUUAAUAUGCUUUUUCUCUAUUCGUAGAUCGAUCGUCGGCUAUUAUACGCUCAACGUUUUACGAGCGUAUUUCCUUUGCAGUUACAAAAAACUAAGAAAAAUUAUCAUCCGCUUUAUGAUUCGAAGCGAAAGAAUAAAAUGUACGAACGAAGAAGCAAAGAGAGGACAUUUUCGGGCGUUGUUUCGAACCGUCACUCGAAAGCAUAGAAUUUAAAUUCUAAUCACGGCGUACUCGCCACAGGAAGAGACAAGCUUUCUACAUGUUUCAAAGCCGUGGCUGGUUUUACGAGAAAUUUUAUAAAAUAUAUAUGCUGGAAUUAAAAGGACCUUGAUAACGCGGAUCGUACGUCUUUCAAUUUUUAGUUACUAUUAACUUAAAAAUGCGAUAACGCUUAUCUGUUCCAUCAACAAGUCAGGUAUUAAAAACGCGUCACGUUAUUUCGUUUGUUUGAACAAUCAAUUCCGACGGGAACAGAUUAAACAAAUAAACGAAGACGAGUGUUGUUUUAUACGGUGCCUAGCACGUUCGCGAAUAAAACGACCUAUGAGACUGUCUCGAAGUGGUACGAAAGUGCAUCAGCUCUCGUAACGACACACGAAACACUGGUUGUCGAACGUGUUAGAUGGAGGAUGUUAAUGAGUUUGCACUAACAAGCGUGUAGAGCCGGUGCAACGUUUACCUCGACUCGACAUGUUUGCCGAGAGUUGACUGUGUUUUUCGAAAAGUACAAACAGAAAAACAACGUCGAAGAAGUUACGUGCUCCUCGAGACAAAAGAUUCGAUGCGAGGGAUUCGACAUGCCCCUGUACAAUGGCAACCCGCAUUGCUUGCGCGUACGGCAGGUGGCUAGUUCCAGGCGCAGAGUUAUAAUUGAUUAUUUUUCAAAAAUAUUGAAAUUCGGUAUUGAUCAUGGAACCAAGCUUGGUGAGGCUAGACUGCCUCAUGAUGUUGGAGGGGCUCUUCAUCCGUUUGGACGGUGGUACCGGAAGCGGGGCGGUCUUGGACCUUGCCAGAAUGCCACCGUUUCGGCAGUUUCCGUUCGGAUUGGAGCCGGGGGGCCGCUGGGGCGGAGCCCCCCAUAGACCCACCACCCCUGCGUGACGCGUGGUGCUACUUCACCAAUUUCAACCCUUAUCCACCUGUUAGUCUCCCAGUUAUUUUUAACUUCAACCUCCACCUUGCUUCGUCACCACUGGAACAAUAAAAUCAUCAACAACCCCGUUAUUUACCUCUAGUUUUUCGCAAUAAAAAAUUUAAUUAUCUCA